rnacentral:miRNA from 1 species
AAUCAUGCUCAAAACAUUCGACA